GAUGAACGCUAGCGGGAGGCUUAACACAUGCAAGUCGAGGGGCAGCAUAGGGUAGCAAUACUGGGUGGCGACCGGCGGAUGGGUGCGUAACGCGUAUGCAACCUACCAUUGAUUGGGGCAUAGCCCGAAGAAAUUCGGAUUAAUACUCCAUAAUAUUCAUCAAAGGCAUCUUUUAUGAAUUAAAGCUUUUGCGAUCAAUGAUGGGCAUGCGUGACAUUAGUUAGUUGGUGAGGUAACGGCUCACCAAAACGAUGAUGUCUAGGGGUUCUGAGAGGAUUAUCCCCCACACUGGUACUGAGACACGGACCAGACUCCUACGGGAGGCAGCAGUGAGGAAUAUUGGUCAAUGGACGCAAGUCUGAACCAGCCAUGCCGCGUGCAGGAUGACGGCCCUAUGGGUUGUAAACUGCUUUUCCACGGGAAGAACCCUCCGACGUGUCGGAGACUGACGGUACCGUGGGAAUAAGCAUCGGCUAACUCCGUG
rnacentral:rRNA from 1 species